rnacentral:rRNA from 1 species
UACAGAGGGUGCGAGCGUUAAUCGGAGUUACUGGGCGUAAAGGGCGCGUAGGCGGUUGUUUAAGUGAGAUGUGAAAUCCCUGGGCUCAACCUAGGAACUGCAUCUCAUACUGGGCAGCUAGAGUAUUGUAGAGGGUAGUGGAAUUUCCGGUGUAGCGGUGAAAUGCGUAGAGAUCGGAAGGAACACCAGUGGCGAAGGCGGCUACCUGGACAAAUACUGACGCUGAGGCGCGAAAGCGUGGGGAGCAAACAGG